rnacentral:rRNA from 1 species
UCCAGUUGAUCCUGCUGGCGGCUGCGGCUCUCUGAUUUGCACUUAGACAUGCAAGCUUUUUGUUUCAUUAGAAAUGAUUAGCAAACUGCUCAGUAACACGUAGCUAACCUACCCUUAAGUCAGGAAUACCCUCUGGGAAACUGAGGCUAAUGCCUGAUAGGAGAUAUACCCUGGAAUGAGAUAUCUCUCAAACUCGUGCUUAAGGAUGGGGCUGCGGUGGAUUAGGUUGUUGGCGGGGUAAUGGCCCACCAAGCCAGUGAUCCAUAAGGGCUCUUAGCGGAGAGGCCCUGAGAGGAAAUCUGAGACACUAUUUCCAGCCCUACGGGGUGCAGCAGUUAGGUAUAAUUUACAAUGCGCGCAAGCGUGAUAAUUUGAGUCAGAGUGUUUAUCAUACGAUAAACUUUUGCCAAAUGUAAAAAGUUUGGCGAAUAAGGACUGGGUAAGACGAGUGCCAGCCGCCGCGGUAAUACUCGCGGUCCAAGUCGCAGCCAUUUUUAUUGGGUCUAAAACAUCCGUAGCUUGCUUGAUAAGUUCCCUGUGAAACUUUAUAUCUCAAAUAUAGAACGCGCAGGGAGUACUAUUGAGCUAGAGACUGGGAGACGUAAAAAGUGCGUUUAAAGUAACGGUUAAAUGUGUUAAUCUUAAACGGACUCACAAUAGCGAAGGCAUUUUACGAGAACAGAUCUGACAGUCAGGGAUGAAGGCUAGGGGCGCAAAACGGAUUAGAUACCCGUGUAGUCCUAGCAGUAAACUCUGCACACUAAACAUCAGUACCUCUUCGGGAGGUAUUGGUGCUGAAGGGAAGCCGAAGAGUGUGCUACCUGGGAAGUAUAGUCGCAAGGCCGAAACUUAAAGGAAUUGGCGGGGAGACACUACAACAGGUGACGCGUGCGGUUCAAUUAGAUUAUACACCGUGAACCUUACCAGGACCGACAGCAGGAUGAAGGUCAGUCUGAAGGGCUUACCUGACACGCUGAGAGGAGUCGCAAGUCCGACGUCAGCCUGUGCCGUGAGGUGACCUGUUAAAUCAGGUAACAGGCAAGACCCACAUCUCUAUUUACUAAGUGUACCAUAGGGAGAUUGCCGUGGUGACGCGGAUGAAAGUGUGGGCUACGUUUGGUUAUUUCAGCCUGAAUGCCCUGGGCAACACGCGCGCGUCAACGGCGAAUACAACGAGAUGCAACUCUGAAAGGAGGAGCCAAUCUCUUAAAGUUCGUCUCAGUUCAGAUUGAGGUUUGUAACUCAGCCUCAUGACGAUGGAAUCUGUAGUAAUCGUUUGUU